rnacentral:lncRNA from 1 species
GGGGACGCUAGGUUCCGGAACCUGACCUGAGCUGGGGCCUGUGCUUCCAGCGGGUGGUGGGGGGCCUGGUGUGCUGGCAUCAAGUAAGCCGACUACCUCGGCAAAGGCUUAGGGACAAGAGACCAGCAGCCUGAACUGGCUGGGGCAUCCGGAAGGCUUAGAUCUUGUGGCCAAGAGUUCAGACCGUGGCGAAGUGGAGAGUGACAUGCAGUUGGAUGGCGGUGACUGCGUGGUCCUGCAACCCUGGUUCCAGUCUGGCAAGCAUUGUAGACCUGGCUGCUGAAGACUGACGGGGCCCAGGGUCCGCUGCCCCCACCGCCAUCACCACCUCGGAACCCAGGGUAACGCUGUCAGUCUUUGAGCCUACGAGGAAGCCAUUCGGAAGCUCCAGAACCCAGGCCCUAAUCACAACGCCCCUAUCCAGCAGGAAGCAGCCAGAUGAUCAACGACGCCCUUUUUCCUUUUUAUACUAAAGUAAGAAAUAAGAAUGUUAGCCCAAACUGCACUAUUUUGCAGACCCCUACCAUUUUACAAACUGGUCAGAGUGGAAAAUUCCACCAGGGCCUGAGCUGUGAGAAACAUCCUGUCAGGCAGGUCCCAGGCCUAACCCCUGGCUGCACUAAAUUCCUUCAUUAUCAGCAGCCAAACACACCGCCCCCACCCCAUUUUCACAACAAUCCCAGACCUCUCCUGCCCGGGACUGUAACUGGUCCAGCCUGUAAGCGGGAAGGGGGCUCUGGCACUAGCUGGUACCCCUUCUCCGCAGGUCUUUCUCCCAAUAAAUCUGUGUUGCCA